CUCACCAUGAUGAAUGAGGAAGAGGAGGACAGAGCAGAGUCUCCAGGAUCCAGCUGUCUGUCUAUGAAGAGUGACUGGUCCAAAGAUGUUGAUAUAUACUUCAGACAUGAACCUGGACACUCACACACAGAAGUUCAGUCCAACAGACGGAGAGCAGAGUCUCCAGGAUCCAGCUGUCUGUCUAUGAAGAGUGACCGGUCCAAAGAUUAUGAUAUAAACUUCAGACAUGAACCUGGACACUCACACACAAAAGUUCAGUCCAACAGACGGAGAGCAGAGUCUCCAGGAUCCAGCUGUCUGUCUAUGAAGAGUGACUGGUCCAAAGAUCUUGAUAUAAACUUCAGACAUGAACCUGGACGCUCACACACAAAGUAAGAGUCUCUUUUUUACUUGACUGAUGAAUUGAGUGUGAAGACAAAAGUUCUGCUCAAAGAUUUAUAUUCAUGAUGCAGAGCUGUUGGUGCAGAUACUGUGUGAAGGCUCUCAGUCGUCCGGGUCGUUUUUCUUUGAGUUCAGUCUGGGUCACUCAGAUCAUCUGCACCUCAAGA